UACGGGGGGGGCAAGCGUUGUUCGGAAUUACUGGGCGUAAAGGGCGCGUAGGCGGUGCCCUAAGUCGGAUGUGAAAACUCUGGGCUCAACCCAGAGCCUGCAUCCGAAACUGGAGUGCUAGAGUUCUGGAGGGGGUAGCGGAAUUCCUGGUGUAGCGGUGAAAUGCGUAGAUAUCAGGAGGAACACCGGUGGCGAAGGCGGCUACCUGGACAGAAACUGACGCUGAGGCGCGAAAGCUAGGGGAGCAAACAGG
rnacentral:rRNA from 1 species